AACGAACGCUGGCGGCAGGCCUAACACAUGCAAGUCGAGCGGACCAUUCGGGGUCAGCGGCGGACGGGUGAGUAACGCGAGGGAAUAUGCCCUUCUCUACGGAAUAGUCCUGGGAAACUGGGGGUAAUACCGUAUACGCCCUUUGGGGGAAAGAUUUAUCGGGGAAGGAUUAGCCCGCGUUGGAUUAGGUAGUUGGUGGGGUAAUGGCCUACCAAGCCGACGAUCCAUAGCUGGUUUGAGAGGAUGAUCAGCCACACUGGGACUGAGACACGGCCCAGACCGCGACGGGAGGCAGCAGUGGGGUAUCUUAGGGAAGGGGGGCAACUCUAGUCUAGCCAUGCCGCGUGAGUGAUGAAGGCCUUUGGGUUGUAAAGCUCGUUCAGCUGGGAAGAUAAUGACGGUACCAGCAGAAGAAGCCCCGGCUAACUCCGUG
rnacentral:rRNA from 1 species